rnacentral:rRNA from 1 species
CCUACGGGGGGCUGCAGUGGGGAAUUUUGGACAAUGGGCGCAAGCCUGAUCCAGCCAUGCCGCGUGCAGGAUGAAGGCCUUCGGGUUGUAAACUGCUUUUGUACGGAACGAAAAGGUGCCUUCUAAUAAAGGGCGCUCAUGACGGUACCGUAAGAAUAAGCACCGGCUAACUACGUGCCCGCAGCCGCGGUAAUACGUAGGGUGCAAGCGUUAAUCAGAGUGACUGCAGGUGAUUUGUGCGCAGGGAGGUGAAAUCCCCGGGCUCAACCUGGGAACUGCCUUUGUGACUGCAAGGCUGGAGUGCGGCAGAGGGGGAUGGAAUUCCGCGUGUAGCAGUGAAAUGCGUAGAUAUGCGGAGGAACACCGAUGGCGAAGGCAAUCCCCUGGGCCUGCACUGACGCUCAUGCACGAAAGCGUGGGGAGCAAACAGGAUUAGAUACCCCAGUAGUC